UACAGAGGGGGCAAGCGUUGUUCGGAAUUACUGGGCGUAAAGGGCGCGUAGGCGGCCUUCUAAGUCGAACGUGAAAUCCCCGGGCUCAACCCGGGAACUGCGUCCGAUACUGGAAGGCUUGAAUCCGGGAGAGGGUAUGCGGAAUUCCAGGUGUAGCGGUGAAAUGCGUAGAUAUCUGGAGGAACACCGGUGGCGAAGGCGGCAUCCUAGACCGGCAUUGACGCUGAGGCGCGAAAGCCAGGGGAGCAAAGCGGG
rnacentral:rRNA from 1 species